rnacentral:tRNA from 1 species
GCCAGUUUUGCUCAGUGGAUAGAGCAUUGGCCUGCAAAGUGAAAGGUACCAGGUUCGAUUCUGGUCAAGGGCA